rnacentral:rRNA from 1 species
AGUGCUGCAGCUAACGCAUUAAGUAAUCCGCCUGGGGAGUACGACCGCAAGGUUGAAACUCAAAAGAAUUGACGGGGGCCCGCACAAGCGGUGGAGCAUGUGGUUUAAUUCGAAGCUACGCGAAGAACCUUACCAGGUCUUGACAUCUUCUGACAGUCUAAGAGAUUAGAGGUUCCCUUCGGGGACAGAAUGACAGGUGGUGCAUGGUUGUCGUCAGCUCGUGUCGUGAGAUGUUGGGUUAAGUCCCGCAACGAGCGCAACCCUUAUUACUAGUUGCCAGCAUUAAGUUGGGCACUCUAGUGAGACUGCCGGUGACAAACCGGAGGAAGGUGGGGACGACGUCUAAUCAUCAUGCCCCUUAUGACCUGGGCUACACACGUGCUACAAUGGAUGGUACAACGAUUCUCGAGACCGCGAGGUUAAGCUAAUCUCUUAAAACCAUUCUCAGUUCGCACUGAAGGCUGCGGCUUUUC